UACGGAGGGUGCGAGCGUUGUCCGGAAUCACUGGGCGUAAAGGGCGCGUAGGUGGCGCGGGAAGUCAACGGUGAAAGUUCGGGGCUCAACCCUGAAUCGGCCGUCGAUACUCCCGGCUCGAGCACUGUAGAGGCAGAUGGAAUUCCGGGUGUAGCGGUGGAAUGCGUAGAGAUCCGGAAGAACACCGGUGGCGAAGGCGGUCUGCUGGGCAGUUGCUGACACUGAGGCGCGACAGCGUGGGGAGCAAACAGG
rnacentral:rRNA from 1 species